rnacentral:rRNA from 1 species
GUAGUCUGCAACUCGACUACAUGAAGCUGGAAUCGCUAGUAAUCGCAAAUCAGAAUGUUGCGGUGAAUACGUUCCCGGGUCUUGUACACACCGCCCGUCACACCAUGGGAGUCGGAAAUGCCCGAAGUCAGUAGCCUAACCGCAAGGGGGGCGCUGCCGAAGGUAGGAUUGGCGACUGGGGUGAAGUCGUAACAAGGUAGC